UACGUAGGGGGCAAGCGUUGUUCGGAAUUACUGGGCGUAAAGGGCGCGUAGGCGGCACAGCAAGUCGGGCGUGAAAGCCCGGGGCUCAACCCCGGAAUGUCUUUCGAAACUGCUGAGCUCGAGUGCGGAAGAGGCAACUGGAAUUCCCAGUGUAGCGGUGAAAUGCGUAGAUAUUGGGAAGAACACCUGAGGCGAAGGCGGGUUGCUGGGCCGACACUGACGCUGAGGCGCGAAAGCCAGGGGAGCGAACGGG
rnacentral:rRNA from 1 species